rnacentral:rRNA from 1 species
AGAGUUUGAUCCUGGCUCAGAUUGAACGCUGGCGGAAUGCUUUACACAUGCAAGUCGAACGGCAGCACGGGAGCUUGCUCCUGGUGGCGAGUGGCGAACGGGUGAGUAAUGCGCCGGAACGUACCGAGUAAUGGGGGAUAACGCGGCGAAAGUCGCGCUAAUACCGCAUACGCCCUGAGGGGGAAAGCGGGGGAUCGCAAGACCUCGCGUUAUUCGAGCGGCCGACGUCUGAUUAGCUAGUUGGUGGGGUAAAGGCUCACCAAGGCGACGAUCAGUAGCGGGUCUGAGAGGAUGAUCCGCCACACUGGGACUGAGACACGGCCCAGACUCCUACGGGAGGCAGCAGUGGGGAAUUUUGGACAAUGGGGGCAACCCUGAUCCAGCCAUUCCGCGUGAGUGAAGAAGGCCUUCGGGUUGUAAAGCUCUUUCAGCUGGAGCGAAACGGUACGCUCUAACAUAGCGUGCUACUGACGGUACCAGCAGAAGAAGCACCGGCUAACUACGUGCCAGCAGCCGCGGUAAUACGUAGGGUGCGAGCGUUAAUCGGAAUUACUGGGCGUAAAGCGUGCGCAGGCGGAUUGUUAAGCAAGACGUGAAAUCCCCGGGCUUAACCUGGGAAUGGCGUUUUGAACUGGCAGUCUAGAGUGCGUCAGAGGGGGGUGGAAUUCCACGUGUAGCAGUGAAAAUGCGUAGAGAUGUUGGAGGAACACCGAAUGGCGAAAGGCAGCCCCCUGGGGAUGACACUUGAACGCUCAUGGUACAAAAGCGUGGGUUAGCAAAACAGGGAAUUUAGAAUAC